UUUUUCUUUUGCAGCAUUUUCAAGUACAAAGUUCUUUAUGAAAAUCGGUUAUCACGCAACACAUAUAAAGACGAUUGCUGUUGAAUUAAAAAGUAAAUGGGAAAGAUGUUAUCGAGCUCUGAAGUCGUUGAAGAUUCCGUACACUGUACCGUCGGAAAGCCAUGUGGCUCAUGGCGCCUCGUUUCUUCUCAUCUCCCUCGCAUUAAGAGUCCAACAAGAUGCCAAAAAGGCUACACGUUUCUAACAAUUACGUCAAGCUUGAUACGCUGAUGCAUCCAACAUUGUUUGUAAAUCAUCAUGAAAGAUGACGCCAGGAAUGGCGCACGUUAGACAGCGCUAUAAAUUUAUUUAAUAAAUGGCGCUACUGGCAUCAAUUUCAGAUACUUUCUACUUAUUUUUAAAAUGCAGUAAAUGUUACUUUCACAAGUCCCAUUGCAAAAAAUAAUAGGCUACCAUUUCCUAAAAUCGAGGGACGUAGAUUUUGGAUUUUACGGCAGCUGAACGUGACUAGAAGGAGCGUUACGGCCAAUUUAAUAGCUUUCACGCGAGAAUCGACACUACGCGGCUAAAAAAGAAUUCUAUCUUAAAAGGGAUAACUGUAUGAUGGUAAUCACGUCGACAGAGGAUUUAAAAAAAAAAAACUUCAACAAAGUUGCUGUAAUGAAUACACUUUUAAACGAUCUACCAUAAUACUCUGGACAGGGCCGUAUAUUAACCCAACGCUAAUUACGCGAUGCUCAUGCAUCUUUCGAUGUCUCGACCCUUCGUUGCUCUUCCCGAGAGAACGCGGGAGAUUCAACAAGUUUCGUCAUUAUCCAAUGAAUGGAACUCCUUUCGCGUCUUCUGCCAACAUCCUGGACACGUUGUCGUCCGUUGUCCGAGCCGAUGAGAAUCGAUGUGACAGUCCAAUCGACGGGCUCACGGGUCACAGUUUCUUCUCGCGGGACAUAAAAGGGAGACGGCCGCGUAUUGGUAAUCGUAAGCGACUUCACCUUCCAUCAGCAGGGGGCAACAAGCCUGCCAGACGACGACGCGAACACGACCACGAUGACAACGGCUGAAGAAUGUAGGGGGAAAACAAAUUUCUGCGCGUUGAAACUUUAUACUCGUAAAUAACGAUAAGCGAUACAUCUUGAAACGGGGAAGAAUUGAUUCUAUCAGAUACGCAGGAAUUUUUUACUUGCUUGCUGUAGAAGAUUGUAUAAUCUGUACUUCAGUGCUAUUUUCAUUGCAAACUUUUGAAUUGUUAUUUAUCUGAUAUAAGAGUACCAAUCGAAAUGGAUGGACACUAGGCAACUAUGAAAUUUUGUUAUCGCUAUAUAACCUGUUAUGACUUAUUAAUUAUUGUUUCAUAUGUUUUCAGAAGCAACUAUCUUUCUGUUCCUAGAAAUGGAUACUAUGACUUUUUUUAAGGUGAGCGGAAAUAUUGCUAUAACGGGCUGGUUCUUGGGGCUUUGCAGCACCAUAUCGAGAUGACCUUUUCGAAUCUGGUUUUUCCGGGUACCAGCCAUGUCAGAUGGGUGGAAAUGAUACAUAGAUAUCUAAGGAACCUGUGAAUGAGAAACUUAAUGCAACUUGCGACUAAAUUGUUGAACGCGAUAAGUUAUUCGAGACAAAUAUGUGUCGCGCCUAACAUAGACAAAUUUCUCUAUACGGGUAUGCUCUCACGGCAUAUGUUUAUUAUUGGUCAGUGCAACACGAUGCCGUGCCCAUUUUCACUGCCCAUGUUCCGCCGUACGUUAAUUAGGAAAAAAAAGAGGAAUUACUAUUCGUUUGUGAAUAAAGGUAGACGUAAAAAUGUUUUAGGGAUUUUUAUCCGCUGAGGUUGACCUGCCUGGAAUCUGGUACAAUUACGUCCGUGUUUUAAUCGCUUUCGAAUACGUAUAUGUCUAUUUCCUG